AUUGAACGCUGGCGGCAGGCCUAACACAUGCAAGUCGAGCGGAUGAAGGGAGCUUGCUCCUGGAUUCAGCGGCGGACGGGUGAGUAAUGCCUAGGAAUCUGCCUGGUAGUGGGGGACAACGUUUCGAAAGGAACGCUAAUACCGCAUACGUCCUACGGGAGAAAGCAGGGGACCUUCGGGCCUUGCGCUAUCAGAUGAGCCUAGGUCGGAUUAGCUAGUUGGUGAGGUAAUGGCUCACCAAGGCGACGAUCCGUAACUGGUCUGAGAGGAUGAUCAGUCACACUGGAACUGAGACAGGGGCCAGACUCCUACGGGAGGCAGCAGUGGGGAAUAUUGGACAAUGGGCGAAGGCCUGAUCCAGCCAUGCCGCGUGUGUGAAGAAGGUCUUCGGAUUGUAAAGCACUUUAAGUUGGGAGGAAGGGUUGUAGAUUAAUACUCUGCAAUUUUGACGUUACCGACAGAAUAAGCACCGGCUAACUCUGUGCCAGCCGCCGCAGUAAGAC
rnacentral:rRNA from 1 species